UCACGAAAAGGUUAAUGUUGGCUGAUAC
rnacentral:sRNA from 1 species